CACGAGCACAAAGGAGGCUGUGCCUCCCAGCCUGAGGGGGCCUCCUGGAGGAGGUGGCACUUAGGUGGAGCAGGCCAAGUUAGGAGCCAGGGGACCAGGGCCCAGCGGGAUCCUAAGGGGCAGGGUUGGCCCUGCUGGCUCCACUACACCACACCCUCGAGGACUUCCCAGAGGGUCUGAGGGUAUGGGGGAUCAAGGAAGGAACUGGAGGGUCCUGAAAUCCAGGGAGGGGCCAGAAUCCGUUGGAAUGCAAUGAGGCACAGCUGGGAGAUCUGGGCACGGUGACCCUAAAUUCUGGAAGGUCCCUAAGUGCAUCAACUGUUUUUGGGGGGUAGGGGAGUGGCCAGCCUGGUACCACUGCUUUAGAGCAUGUGUCAUCACCUCUCACAGUGAAGUCAUCUUUAAAGGACUCAAUUGUCUUGUGCCCAGGCUGGGCCUGGAGAGGGUGGAGGUCACAUGGCCACUGACCCGAGUCCUUCUGGCUUCCCUGUGACCUUCACGGGAGUCUCUUUGGGGGCUUAAAGAGGCAGGCACUGGCCGGAGAUGACCCUUCCCCAAUCACCCAUGUCCCUGGGAGCCUCAGUUCCUGGAACCAGCCACUUCAGACUGGGUCUUCUGGGCAGCUGGGUGGGACCACAGGACCGCUGUUCCUUGCAGGGCUGGAGUUUGAGCGCUGGCUCAAUGCCACGGGCCCACCGCUGGCCGAGCCGGACCUAUCUCAGGGGUCCAGCCUGACCCGGCCUGUGGAGGCCCUGUUCCAGCUGUGGACGGCGGAGCCCCUCGAUCAGGCGGCAGCGUCAGCCAGUGCCGUGGACAUCUCCAAGUGGAGGACCUUCCAGACGGCACUCUUCCUGGACCGGCUCCUGGAUGGGUCCCCGCUGCCUCAGGGUGGGUCCCUCAGCCAGCAGGUGGCCCUGGGGGGAGUGGCACUGGCCUGGCCUGACUUGCCGCUGCCCCACAGAGGUGGUGAUGAGCCUGUCCAAGUGCUACUCCUCCCUCCUGGACUCCAUGAACGCUGAGAUCCGCAUUCGCUGGCUGCAGAUCGUGGUGCGCAACGACUACUACCCAGACCUCCACCGGGUGCGGCGCUUCCUGGAGAGCCAGGUGCAGACACCUGUCUGGGGUCGGGGCUGGGGGUGGCCUCACUCAGGGGCCCAACCACCCUCUCUCUCUCCAGCCUGACUGCUCAGGCAGGCAGGCACACCAGAGAGUUGGGUGGCAAGGUCUGGGGGUCUGGGCUGGGAACCGGCCUGAGUCGGGGGAGACAGGUAUAAGUCAAAGCUCAGAGGCAGCCUGGACUGCACCAGUCCUGGGAGAGACCAUGGAGGCCCAAGAUGGGAGUUGGUGUCCAAGGGUCUCCGCUCACAGCCUGGACCUGGACCUAGCUGGGCCUCCAGCCUGUGGUGUUCAGCUCCCAGGUGGGCACAGGGGCAUCCAAGUUCCUCCAACAGUGGCAGGUUCCAGCCUGUGGGACCUGACUUCCCUGGGGCACCCCUCCAGCCCAAUCAGCAUGGAAGAGGAGGUCAGGGUGACCGACUGGUGGGGGUCUUGGGCUGUGUGAGUCCAGACCAAGGCCUGGUGAAGCCGCUGGAGCAGGUCCAGGGAUUGGAAGGCCUCCCGCCAGGCGGGGUUGGUGGGAGAGGCCCGGGGAGCCCACUAGGUGACCUGGUGUCCCCACAGAUGUCGCGCAUGUACACCAUCCCACUGUAUGAGGACCUCUGCACGGGUGCCCUCAAGUCCUUUGCGCUGGAGGUCUUCUAUCAGACGCAGGGCCGGCUGCACCCCAAUCUGCGCAGAACCAUCCAGCAGAUCCUGUCCCAGGGCCUGGGCCCCAGUGCCGAGGCCAGCACUGAGCCCGACGCUGAGCUGGCCAGAGCUGGGGCAGAGGCAGGGUCAGACUCGGCAGCCCUGCUGCUUGGCGACGAGGCCCCCAGUAGCGCCAUCUCUCUCAGGGACGUCAACGUGUCUGCCUAGCCCUGACAUUGGGCCAACCUUCAACCUCCCAGACACCAAGAUUGUGCCUUCUGUGGCCCGGGCCGCCAUGACUGCGCCUUGGCUCUGGCCACGAGCUCGGCCCGGGCCCGUGAGCCUCUCCCGUGGGCUCUCCCGUGGGCUCUCCCGGGGGCUCUCCCAGGCUGGGGGCUUGGGGAGAGGGAUUCUGUCUAGUGGCAGCCCUGGGGGCCUGAGCUCACCCUGUCCCAGCUGUCCUGCACUGUGGGCCUCAGGACUGGCCUUAUGCACCACGCCUCCCAUCUCAACACUGACAGCCAUGCGUGGCCCCGGACACCCGCACCUGCUGGACACCAUCGUGGGACCGCAGCUCCAGCAGCUCAUGGCGACCACCACACUGUGCCUUACGUCUGCAGACAGGCUGCACUGCCCCCGAGGCACAGCUUCCCCAGAACCCUGCACUGUUAUCCCCUGGCAGAGGGACAAGGACGCGAUGUACCCUCACUGUGGGGGCUGGGGACAGGAGAGAAGGGGCAUCACAUGGGGAGCCUUGGCCCCUCGGCACAUGGAGUCCAGGCCCCAGAGGCCUGUUCUCCCAGCUGCCUGGGGUAGCGGCACAGCCACCCGGCUCACCCCAGGAAAGGGGUGGUGCUGAUGCUCUUGGG
rnacentral:lncRNA from 1 species